rnacentral:rRNA from 1 species
UGGGGAAUAUUGGACAAUGGGCGCAAGCCUGAUCCAGCCAUGCCGCGUGGGUGAAGAAGGCCUUCGGGUUGUAAAGCCCUUUUGUUGGGAAAGAAAAGCAGUCGGUUAAUACCCGAUUGUUCUGACGGUACCCAAAGAAUAAGCACCGGCUAACUUCGUGCCAGCAGCCGCGGUAAUACGAAGGGUGCAAGCGUUACUCGGAAUUACUGGGCGUAAAGCGUGCGUAGGUGGUGGUUUAAGUCUGUUGUGAAAGCCCUGGGCUCAACCUGGGAAUUGCAGUGGAUACUGGGUCACUAGAGUGUGGUAGAGGGUAGCGGAAUUCCCGGUGUAGCAGUGAAAUGCGUAGAGAUCGGGAGGAACAUCCGUGGCGAAGACGGCUACCUGGACCAACACUGACACUGAGGCACGAAAGCGUGGGGAGCAAACAGGAUUAGAUACCCUGGUAGUCCACGCCCUAAACGAUGCGAACUGGAUGUUGGGUGCAAUUUGGCACGCAGUAUCGAAGCUAACGCGUUAAGUUCGCCGCCUGGGGAGUACGGUCGCAAGACUG